UAAGGCAAUUCAUAAUAGGUUUCUGCUCAAGUAUAUGACAAAGAAGAAGAUAUUUUAUUUCCAAGCAUUUGGUAUUUUCAAUUUUUCAAUCAAAGAGAAAAAGAAUACAUAAAAAUUUUGAUUACGAGGACCUUAUUCCUCGUAUAGUAACUUCAGUGAAUUAAAACAAAACAUUAAAUGAAAUGAUAGCAAGCAGUUCGUAAUGGAAACCAACAUUGAGGAAAUUUAUUUAUUCCAUUAAAAUUAUUACUAAAUAAGUGUUUUUUUCACGUGGUGAAUUCGAAACAAAUGCUUUUCAAAGAGGAACUAUAUAUAUAGGUGACUAUGGUAGGUAGUGAAAUUCGAGAAACGGGAAGUCAAACAGUUUGGAACGUUGUCUCUGUCUCUCUAUUAUGCCACACUGAAUCACUCUCUCUCUCACACACACACACCCCCAAACUUUCUAUUCCCCACAACGGUAUCCAACCACCAUUUUCUCUUUUUGAAGUCAAAGAUUCUGGUGCUGGUAUUCGUUCGUCUCCAGUUCAUUUGCCUCUUCACAACGUUUAGAAGUAGCAUCGCGCUAAUUUCGAGAUUGAUUUCUGAGAUUGUGAUAAAAUUGGCAGAUAGAUUCAGAUAAAUAGAUAGGCUUCGUAAUAGAUUUUUGAGUUACUAGGUUUGAUAAAUAGGGAAUUGAUUAAUAGAGAGUAGAUGAGGUAGUUCAUUGAGUUUCUGUCAGUUAUUGUAUCUGUUGUGUUUCUGUGGUGACUGCGUCUGUUCACUGUUCAGGUGGACUUCCUACAUGAACUUGUGGGAGGGAAUGUGGAGACGCCGCUCGUCCGGCUGACAAUGAAUGAAGUUGCCACCAACUUCUGCAGGGAAGGCGGGAAAGGGAAGAGGUCCCUAAACAGCCUUCUGAUAAACAAAAUUCUGGAGAAAGUUGUUGCUGCGUCUCUGGAGAUUUCACGAGCAAGCUGUUUGAAACCAGGGUGUAAGAGUGGCUCUGGCAGGCUGGGACCAGAAUGUAAUUUAUUAAAAACUUCAAAAAAUAAAAGAAUUGACUAGAAUUUAUUUGUCACGUUUUAUGAGAUUGUAGUGGAAUAAAAAUGUAUUUUCAAGUUGUA